rnacentral:rRNA from 1 species
AACGAACGCUGGCGGCAGGCUUAACACAUGCAAGUCGAACGCCCCGCAAGGGGAGUGGCAGACGGGUGAGUAACGCGUGGGAACAUACCCUUUCCUGCGGAAUAGCUCUGGGAAACUGGAAUUAAUACCGCAUACGCCCUACGGGGGAAAGAUUUAUCGGGGAAGGAUUGGCCCGCGUUGGAUUAGCUAGUUGGUGGGGUAAAGGCCUACCAAGGCGACGAUCCAUAGCUGGUCUGAGAGGAUGAUCAGCCACAUUGGGACUGAGACACGGCCCAAACUCCUACGGGGGGCAGCAGUGGGGAAUAUUGGACAAUGGGCGCAAGCCUGAUCCAGCCAUGCCGCGUGAGUGAUGAAGGCCUUAGGGUUGUAAAGCUCUUUCACCGAUGAAGAUAAUGACGGUAGUCGGAAGAAGCCCCGGCUAACUUCGUGCCAGCCGCCGCAGUAA